rnacentral:rRNA from 1 species
GAUGAACGCUAGCGGGAGGCCUAACACAUGCAAGCCGAGCGGUAUUGUUUCUUCGGAAAUGAGAGAGCGGCGUACGGGUGCGGAACACGUGUGCAACCUGCCUUUAUCUGGGGGAUAGCCUUUCGAAAGGAAGAUUAAUACUCCAUAAUAUAUUGAACGGCAUCGUUUAAUAUUGAAAGCUCCGGCGGAUAGAGAUGGGCACGCGCAAGAUUAGCUAGUUGGUGAGGUAACGGCUCACCAAGGCGAUGAUCUUUAGGGGGCCUGAGAGGGUGAGCCCCCACACGGGUACUGAGACACGGACCAGACUCCUACGGGAGGCAGCAGUGAGGAAUAUUGGUCAAUGGGUGCAAGCCUGAACCAGCCAUCCCGCGUGAAGGACGACUGCCCUAUGGGUUGUAAACUUCUUUUGUAUAGGGAUAAACCUACCCUCGUGAGGGUAGCUGAAGGUACUAUACGAAUAAGCACCGGCUAACUCCGUGCCAGCCGCCGCCGUAAGAC